GCUGGUGAUGUAGCUUUUCUAGGGAUCAGUCUUCUCAUCUAUAACACAGUGCUAAUUCUCACCUUGUUGGGUUGCUGAGAAUUGAGUGAGCCCAUGCAUUUGAAGGCCAACCUCAGUGCCUGAAACAGAUAAACCCAAUGAACAGUAGUUCUUUCAAUCUUGAAUGAGAAUCAUAUUCUGAAGGCUAAAUGAUUUUUGAAAAACUUUACUGUUAAUUUACAUUUUUUUUUCUUUUUUUUGAGACAGGGUCUUGCUAUGUUGCCCAGGCUGGUCUUGAACCCUUGGGCUCAAGUGAUCCUCCAGCCUUGGCCUUCCGAAGUGUUAGGAUCACAAGUGUGAGCUUCCUCACCCUGUCCUUUGUUCUUUUUAAGGGGGAAAAAUGCACCUCUGCAUACUUACAUACUCUGAAUUAUUUGGAGCUGUGCCUCUCAGACUAUCUAUGGUGAAGGCCUAAUUUUGUUCCGAAUUCGUCAUGAACUGAUGCUUUUAUAAAGUACAAUACAAUGAAUUAAUAU
rnacentral:lncRNA from 10 species